rnacentral:rRNA from 1 species
GUGCCAGCCGCCGCGGUAAUACGUAGGUGGCAAGCGUUGUCCGGAUUUACUGGGCGUAAAGGGCGUGUAGGCGGAUAUUUAAGUGAGAUGUGAAAUCCCCGGGCUUAACUUGGGGGGUGCAUUUGAAACUGGAUGUCUUGAGUGCAGAAGAGGAAAGCAGAAUUCCUAGUGUAGCGGUGAAAUGCGUAGAGAUUAGGAAGAAGACCAGUGGCGAAGGCGGCUUUCUGG